GGGUGAGUAACACGUGGGUAACCUGCCUCAUAGAGGGGAAUAGCCUUCCGAAAGGGAGAUUAAUACCGCAUAACAUAGCACUUACCGCAUGGUAGAGUUAUCAAAGGAGCAAUCCUGCUAUGAGAUGGACCCGCGGCGCAUUAGCUAGUUGGUGAGGUAACGGCUCACCAAGGCGACGAUGCGUAGCCGACCUGAGAGGGUGAUCGGCCACAUUGGAACUGAGACACGGUCCAGACUCCUACGGGAGGCAGCAGUGGGGAAUAUUGCGCAAUGGGGGAAACCCUGACGCAGCAACGCCGCGUGAGUGAAGAAGGCCUUAGGG
rnacentral:rRNA from 2 species